AUUUAGAGGAAGGAGAAGUCGUAACAAGGUUUCCGUAGGUGAACCUGCGGAAGGAUCAUUGUCGAAUCCUGCAAAGACGACCGCGAACUUGUUUUAACACGGGCGUCGUGCGGUGGGACCUCCCAACGCUCGGCGCCCCUUGGCCGGUUGGUGCUUUUGUCACUGGUCGUGCCACACAACAAACCCCGGCGCGGAAAGCGCCAAGGACUACUUAAAUGGAUGCCUUCCCUUGGCUCGCCCGUUCGCGGGGUGAGCCUAGGGAGUUAAGGCAACUGUCGAAUCUAAAACGACUCUCGGCAACGGAUAUCUAGGCUCUCGCAUCGAUGAAGAACGUAGCAAACUGCGAUACUUGGUGUGAAUUGCAGAAUCCCGUGAACCAUCGAGUUUUUGAACGCAAGUUGCGCCGAAAGCCUUUAGGCCGACGGCACGUCUGCCUGGGCGUCACGCAUCGCGUCGCCCUCCCCAUCAUUCGUCAUGUGGGAGGGCGGAGAAUGGCCUCCCGUGCACACGAUCGCGGCCGGCCUAAACUCCGGUCCCUCACUGCGGACGUCACGACAAGUGGUGGUUGAAAUCCUCAACUCGAAAGCAAGUCAUGAUCUCCCCGCAGUAUAGGAGACCCUAGACCCUUAAGCGAGACCCCUCUCCCGAGGAGUGCUUGCCACGACCGCGACCCCAGGUCAGGCGGGACUACCCGCUGAGUUUAAGC
rnacentral:misc_RNA from 1 species